rnacentral:snoRNA from 1 species
GGGAUGAUGAUGAAAUGAGAUGGGUUACGCUGUACUGGGAUGCCAAGGUGAGGCGCAUCCCUGGUCUCCAAUGGGCCGUGUUGGGUACUGAUUCC